UCACAGGCAGGCAAGAUAACCAGAAACACUGGGGAAUUCAGGUGCUGUAAAUCCGGUGGACAGGACUCAUCUCGUUAUAGAUCAAGAUAAUUUAUAAAGAUCUUUAAACGAAGGAUUGGAAUAUCAGAUAGUUGACAUGGUGUGCUACUGUGGGUGGCUCCCGCACACCCGUGGCUACGCCCCUGCCGUGACCCAAUUCUCGUUCGCACAUCAUCGCGAUAUUUAUCAUCUGUUUACAAACGUCGCCACAUCUCGUUUCUUCACAUACAUCUCAUACUCCUCCAUCUACACGCUCCGCAACAUUUAAACCAACGGCUCUUUUAAGAGCCAUCACUUGCAAAAGCUCUCCUACUCACUCACUCACUCUCCAACUCACUCUCCUACUAACUCACUCACUCUCCUACUAACUCACUCACUCUCCAACUCACUCACUCUUCUAUAGGGCUGUGUAAAAUAAUCGUCUGUGAUUCUCAUGCGUGUUUCAUCAGUAAAGCCGGUUCCGUGAUUAGAAGUAAAUCGCCAUCAGCUGCUUUCAGAUGGAGCGGCAUUUAUUACACAGAGAAGCUAGGCAAAAUUGCAUAGAUUGUCGGAGUCGGUUUUCCUCGAUUUUAAACCCGGUUUUGCCUAGCUUCUCUGUGAACUACGAGUCUGUGUAGUAAAUGCCGCUCCAUCUGAAAGCAGCUGGUGG